GAGCUUGCUCCAUGGGUGGCGAGUGGCGGACGGGUGAGGAAUGCAUCGGAAUCUACCCAGUCGUGGGGGAUAACGUAGGGAAACUUACGCUAAUACCGCAUACGACCGAGAGGUGAAAGCGGGGGACCUUCGGGCCUCGCGCGGCUGGAUGAGCCGAUGCCGGAUUAGCUUGUUGGCGGGGUAAAGGCCCACCAAGGCGACGAUCCGUAGCUGGUCUGAGGGGAUGAUCAGCCACACUGGAACUGAGACACGGUCCAGACUCCUACGGGAGGCAGCAGUGGGGAAUAUUGGACAAUGGGCGCAAGCCUGAUCCAGCAAUGCCGCGUGUGUGAAGAAGGCCUUCGGGUUGUAAAGCACUUUUGUACGGGAAGAAAGACGCUGGGCUAAUACCCUGGCGGGAUGACGGUACCGUAAGAAUAAGCACCGGCUAACUUCGUGCCAGCAGCCGCGGUAAUACGAAGGGUGCAAGCGUUACUCGGAAUUACUGGGNCGUAAGCGUGCGUAGGCGGUUUGUUAAGUCCGUUGUGAAACCCUGGGCUCAACCUGGGAACUG
rnacentral:rRNA from 1 species